AGGAUGAUGGAGCAGAGCCUAUGGGAGGAGCGGUGAGCAGCAGCACAGCAUCAGCUCCUGCCCGCCCUGUCCCCAUGGCUCCAUCCAUCCCAGCACCGCGGCCGCUCCAC
ensembl:miRNA gga-mir-6708 gga-mir-6708